rnacentral:sRNA from 1 species
UACUUGCAUUAGGGAUUGCAGCGGAUAGCUUUUGGCGAGGCGCACAUCGAGCCAAAACUACUAGCGGAAAGCCCGACCCUUU